rnacentral:rRNA from 1 species
UGGGGAAUAUUGCACAAUGGGGGAAACCCUGAUGCAGCGACGCCGCGUGAGCGAAGAAGGUUUUCGAAUCGUAAAGUUCUGUCCUAUGGGAAGAUAAUGACGGUACUAUAGGAGGAAGCCCCGGCUAACUACGUGCCAGCAGCCGCGGUAAUACGUAGGGGGCAAGCGUUGUCCGGAAUCACUGGGCGUAAAGGGUUCGCAGGCGGAAAUGCAAGUCAGUUGUGAAAGGCAGAGGCUAAACCUCUGUAAGCAAUUGAAACUGUAUUUCUUGAGAUGUGGAGAGGCAAGUGGAAUUCCUAGUGUAGCGGUGAAAUGCGUAGAUAUUAGGAAGAAUAACGGUUGCGAAGGCGACUUGCUGGACACAAACUGACGCUGAGGAACAACAACGUAGGUAGCAAACAGG